rfam:Salmo salar isolate Sally breed double haploid chromosome ssa13, whole genome shotgun sequence.
UCCCCUGUGGCUCAGUUGGUAGAUCAUGGCACUUGCAACGCCAGGGUUGUGGGUUUGAUUCCCACAGGGGAU